UGUGAGGGGAAGGCCCCGGUGCUGCGAUGGCUUCCCGCGCUUUUAAUUAAUAAAUAGACUGAGCCGCUCUUAAAGAAGGUAUUAAGCCAUUAGAGAGCGUCCAAAGGAGGGCAGCGAAGAUGGUGGAGGGCCUCGAGGGGCGGCUGAGGGCACUUGCAAAAGAAAUCACAGUUUCCUCGGGGAUGGAGUCACCUGCAAAGCCUGAUGACAGAGAAACAGAAUAACAGCAUGAAGCUGAAAUGAAAGAUUUAGCACAAAGCAGCAGAAGCCAAGGCAGCCACUGCAAAGGCACUCGGGCUCUGCCCCAUCAAUCUGGAUCUGCAGGAGCGCUGGACUGUGUGAACUUCUAACGGCGUGUUAGAAAUGGACCUCACACAGUUCUGACCACACUCCCAAGGCCAAGAGGAAUUCAGAUCCAACAGAACGGGAGAUUUAAAGAGCAAGACUUUCAUAUUUAGGAAUGCUGAGAGCUGCAAUAUCUGUUAUGAGGCAGAAGCUGGAGAUGAGCUGUGAUUCUGCAGAGUGAUCCACGGCAGAGCUGGAAUCAGGAUAGGAAGAAGAUAAUUAUCCAACAAAAGGAUUCAUUCCUACAGCAUUGAGCGAUUAGAAAAUCCAGAGAUUUUUCCUUUUCCCCCUCUUCCACAUUUAGAAGAGGAUUCCCAAGAGACCAUGGAGCCCAGAGGUAGGUACCCUGGUCAGACACAGCUUGUGUCCAG